rnacentral:lncRNA from 1 species
GUACAUUUUACUGAACUGCGUCCAGUCAGCAGAUGGACUAGAUGCCUCUUAGGCCGCCCAUUGUGACUCCGUCAAGAAUUCAGCAGAGCAAGUUUGUAUGAAGGUCUGGUUAUUAAAUGGGUACAUAGUUCAAUAGUAAUAUCCUCUAAAACGCUCUGGUGACAAACUUUGCUGCCCUGUUUCCAGUUGUCCACAUGGCUGGAAGAACCUAUUCAAGUAGCUAGCUAACAGCCAUGGAGGAGGGUGAAAGGAUAGCAGCCCCAACUGUCAGUGAGAGAGGAGGCUAUUCUGGAUAGGGCAGGUACUUUUGUGUAGUUCCUGUCCCUAGAAGUGAGGACGGAGAUAAUAGUAACAUAAUAUUCAGUGUGGUGUAAUCUGACUAUAAUGAAGUCUGUUUCUUGUGAGGUUUUCUGUCCUCAGAUAAAGAGCUCUAUGAAAGCCAGUCUACAUAUGAAGAGGUCCCAAUGAAGAGCAGUGGUUCUCAGUCCUGGGGACUCAGAG